GCAGUUAUAGUAUAGUGGGUAAAUCUCAUUGUGGUUGUCAACAAAAAAUCUCUAAGACGAUGCCUGUUCGAUUCAGGCUAUCUGCA